rnacentral:rRNA from 1 species
CACGUAGGGGACGAGCGUUGUCCGGAUUCAUUGGGCGUAAAGCGCGCGUAGGCGGCUCGGAAAGUCGGGCGUGAAAUGCCGGGGCUCAACCCCGGGACUGCGUCCGAUACUCCGAGCUGGAGGUAGGUAGGGAGAUCGGAAUUCCUGGUGGUAGCGGUGAAAUGCGCAGGAUAAUCAGGAGGAACACCGGUGGGCGAAGGCGGAUCUCUGGGCCUUACCUGACGCUGAGGCGCGAAAGCUAGGGGAGCGAAACAGGG